AGUGAACGCUGGCGGUAGGCCUAACACAUGCAAGUCGAACGGCAGCACAGUAAGAGCUUGCUCUUACGGGUGGCGAGUGGCGGACGGGUGAGGAAUACAUCGGAAUCUACUUUUUCGUGGGGGAUAACGUAGGGAAACUUACGCUAAUACCGCAUACGACCUACGAGUGAAAGCAGGGGAUCUUCGGACCUUGCGCGAUUGAAUGAGCCGAUGUCGGAUUAGCUAGUUGGCGGGGUAAAGGCCCACCAAGGCGACGAUCCGUAGCUGGUCUGAGAGGAUGAUCAGCCACACUGGAACUGAGACACGGGCCAGACUCAUACGGGAGGCAGCAGUGGGGAAUAUUGGACAAUGGGCGCAAGACUGAUCCAGCCAUACCGCGUGGGUGAAGAAGGCCUUCGGGUUGUAAAGCCCUUUUGUUGGGAAAGAAAAGCAGCAGGUUAAUACCCCGCUGUUCUGACGGUACCCAAAGAAUAAGCACCGGCUAACUUC
rnacentral:rRNA from 1 species